rnacentral:misc_RNA from 1 species
GAUGAAGGACGUAGUGAAAUGCGAUACUUGGUGUGAAUUGCAGAAUCCCGUGAACCAUCGAGUCUUUGAACGCAAGUUGCGCCCGAAGCCAUUAGGCCGAGGGCACGCCUGCCUGGGCGUCACACGUCGUUGCCCCCCCAUCUACUCCUUCGGGAUUGCGGGGGGCGGAUGAUGGCCUCCCGUGCGCCUCGUCGCGCGGUUGGCAUAAAUGCCAAGUCCUCGGCGACGCACGCCACGACAAUCGGUGGUUGCGAAACCUCGGUUGCCCGUCGUGUGCGGUCGUCGCGCAUCGAGGGCUCGAAAAAAUUGUCGGGCUCCGGCUCGGCUUUCAACGCGACCCCAGGUCAGGCGGGGUUACCCGCUGAAUUUAAGCAUAUCAAUAAGCGGAGGA